CUUCAGCGAUCCCAGCCACAGCGGCUGUCCCGCCCGGUCCUGGCCGUAGGUGGCGAGCAGCGCACCGGCCUC
rnacentral:antisense_RNA from 1 species